rnacentral:rRNA from 1 species
GGCGAACGCUGGCGGCGUGCUUAACACAUGCAAGUCGAACGAAGUGGCGAACGGGUGAGUAACGCGUAAUCAACCUGCCCUUCAGAGGGGGACAACAGUUGGAAACGACUGCUAAUACCGCAUACUGAAGGAGGGGAUUGCGUCGGAUUAGCUAGGUGGAGGGGUAACGGCCCACCAGGGCGAUGAUCAGUAGCCGGUCUGAGAGGAUGAACGGCCACAUUGAGACUGAGACACGGCCCAGACUCGUACGGGAUGCAGCAGUGGGGAAUCUGCCGCAAGGGACGAAAGUCUGACGGAGCAACGCCGCGGGAGUGAUGACGGCCUUCGGGUUGUAAAGCUCUGUUAAUCGGGACGCGGUACCGGAAUAGAAAGCCACGGCUAACUACGUGCCAGCAGCCGCGGUAAUAC